GGGGCGUUAGCUUAGUGGUAAAGCGCUUGCAUGGCAUGCAAGAGACCACCGGUUCAAAUCCGGUACGCUCCACCA
rnacentral:tRNA from 1 species